rnacentral:misc_RNA from 1 species
CAGAGUUGCAAAACUCCCAAACCAUUGUGAACCUACCUACAACCGUUGCUUCGGCGGGCGGCCCCGGGUCUCCCCGGGCGCCCCUCCGGCCCCUCGCGGGGGCCCGCCGGAGGUACGCAACCCUCUGUAUUUGCAUGGCCUCUCUGAGUCUCUGUACUGAAUAAGUCA